rnacentral:lncRNA from 1 species
AUCUUUGUGAAAAUACUAAACUAAAUAGAAUUAUACCCUUCUAUUGAAACUUUUGUUACAUUUUCAUCUUGCUUAAAAAAUGAUUUAAAAAAUUAAAAUGUUUGUAAACCAGUUUAGUAUUCUGUAAAAGCUAUUUCAUUCUAUGUCACAAAUUUGAUAGGCUAAACAACUGGAUAUGGAAUUAAACUUUUCAGAAAAGAAAGACUGGGUUUACUCGUAAAUAUUUUAUCAAUAAUUCACAGCUGGAUGUGAGUGAAUUAAUAAAGUAAGACCUAAAAUGCAACUUAAGCUAAUUGGAUUACAUAAGAAACGUUUAUAAAACAACUUAUUAAUUUUAUAAAAUAAGACCAUACAUUGGAUAGAAUGUAUAAACGGACUUACGUUAAAAACAAGAAACUUUAUUAGGUGGAUAUAUAGCAAGUUUACAGUUCGCCGUGGGCCAUUAAGGAUACUAAAUAUGUUAUGCAGUUCCACGAAAACGCACAUAUGAAUCAAAGGACGUUCCUUGCAAUGAAAACAGAAAACGAUUGAAACUAAGGACAGGAAACACGGAGACCGUGCCUGACACGUAUCAGCCUCCAAUAGAGGAGACAGCCGAGCCUGUCGCAACUACCGAUGUGAUUCAAGGUCUUUUCCCUGUAAACAUGCAACCCGUGCAUGAAGAACAGGAAAUUUCAGUACGUGGCGCAGCUGGAACAUCCGGAAACAUCCCAAUACUGCCAUCAUCAUCUGCUGUGACUGCUGCUGCUGGUACUGGAAAUCGAAAUGAGAAGAACGCAGACGACGGGCAUAGAGAUAUCACAUCAGCAAAUGCAGGGUCAUGGUAAAGAAGAAGACUAUAGAAAAUAAUAAAUGUUAACACAGUACUAUAUACUGUAUCUUAUAUGUGUUUAGUGUAUCUCUUUAUUUCCACUACAUGUGUUGAUAAGUUUUAAAUUAAGAAGAAUAUACAUGUUAUAGUUUUUUUAACUGUUUCGGAUAAACCUGAACACUUUCUGCUAGUAAUAAAAAUAUACAUUUUUGUAUAUUCACACACACUUGCAAAACAACUGAAUGUGUAUUAGUCAUCAUACUUUGCUACAUGAAACAUCGUGUAUUUUUAAAUAGAAGUUAGUAGGCAUGAUACAAAAAAGAAAGACAUUAAUGUAUAAUUAAACAUCGAUUUUAAAUUUUAUAAUUGCAAUAUAUUUCAUCAUUUGAGACGUAUCAACCAGCUGUAAGAAAACCUAUUAAGGUUUGCGAACUGAUUCGCGUUAUCUAGUCAAUAAUAGGCGAACUGUCACCUUUUUAGUUAAUUUUCCCCUUAAAACAAGGUAUUCCGAUUGUCCAAUAACUGGUUCUUAACUAGAGUCUAUUUGUUGCUAGUUUCCUAAAAAGCGAAUAUAUCGAAAACAUUCCAAUUUUACAAUAACUGAUAGCGCGAUUCUUAGUUAAGAUUCUUGUUACCAUUUUUCGACAAUCGGAAAGAUCUGGCGGACAUAUUUGCUUUAAGCAAACUAGCAACACGAAUCUUAACGUUUUCACAUUGUACAAUUGGAAUGCUGUGGCAUAGUCGGUAACAGCAACACGAACUUUGUCUAGUUGAUAUGCGUGUUACCUGUUAUUGGACAGUGUAUUUUGUUUCUAGGAAAAAAUAACUGAUGGCGGUUCUGUGCAGUCACAGGGUUAUAAUUUGUGUAAUGAUAUUUUUGUUACCGGAAAGAUAUUUUGGGUUAACAUUUUGUGUAUUAGCUUGUAUCUCACUAACCACUAGCAAGAAUGGAUAGAAAUUUCAAACUUUUGUUCACUGUGAUAACGUGACAUUUACUGCACAGGUUCCAUAACUCUUUCUCAUAAAGUUAUGCCACUUUUUCGAUCAAGCUGAAGAGUGAAAUUCACAUGAGGUGAAUUUUUUAUGAUUCAAACUUGUUGCCUUUUUACUUAUGCACUUGUGGAAAUCUAUUUUCAUCAUUUUGAUAUCUCUUUUGUCCGAUUUUAGAAAUGGGAAUUAUACCUUUUUGCCAAUAAAAUUGACACUAUUUAGAUACAGCAGUAGAGAUCAAUCAAUGUGGCGAGUAAUACGCCUACCUUGCAUUUAUUUAUGCACCAUUAUUACAAAAGUUAAAAGUAGCAAUGAAUUAAAUUGUUAAAAACUUGAUGAUAAGCCAUUUCGUUUAAAUAUCAUUUUUCAACGUAAAUACUGAAUAGUUUUUUCUUGUUGUUGUUUUUUUUAAUAAUAUGUGUGAUCUGUUAUAAAUUACAUUAUAUCUCUAAAUGUCAGCUGAAAUAGUGGAUCUGUGUAUUUAUUUUAUUAGACUUAAACAUUUUCUGAUGUCAUACAAUAUGCAUGUAUUCGUCAACAUUUUUUCACAGAGAGAUAAGCUCUUUCCACAGUUAUCCAUCUAUAUUUGGGGAUUUAAUAUCUAUCAAUGACUUGGUAUGUAGGACUAUCUGCAUGAAUAGCAACAUGGAAAUUAAAAAUCAAGUUUCAGAAAAUCUUAAUUAAGCAGGAUGCUUUAAAAUGACAAUUUAAUAUUUCACUUACUCUUGAAUGUUAUUUUAUUACAUGUGCUUGAUUUUCAUACUUUAAAGUUUUAGAUACUAUCUCUACACUAUUGAAAUAGCGAAGGAUACAUAUAGUUGAUAUCUGAAUCUUGCAGAAUGAAGCCGCAUUUCACAAAAAAACUUUGUGAUGGAUUAGUUGGAUCAAACAGUAAAUUUGAAUUAUGUAAUUAAAAGCAUUAUUGUUGUUCAUUUAAGCAGCAAAAUGAACUGUCUUAUAAACUCUUAAUUGCUUAUACUGUUGGUGCAUUUGUCACUCACAGAAAAAAGACAUGCAUGAACAUGUAUCACAUUAUUUAUAUAAUACAUAUAUAAGUAUUUAAGAAUUAAAUGCUAUACGUGUAUAAACCACAUUGGAACUUUUGCAAAUUAACGAGUCGCGCUAGUGUUUCUUCCAAAGGUUAUUGGCAAGAAGUCCCAGUGUAGUUUAUUCCCGUAUAAACUAUAAACGCACAAAAAUAACAUUUAUAAAAGUUCAGUUUGUAAGGAAUAAACAGCAGCAGACUUCUGUGUUUUUCAAUUAUUUCUGUAAUUCAGUUUUAGCUUUAAAUUUUAUUACCUCCCUUUAA